rnacentral:rRNA from 1 species
CUCGAUAAUCCACGCAUACCCAACCUUCUCUCGAAAACCCAGCAUGUGUACUGCCGUUGUAAGCAUACCUUUAAAAGAACAAGUAUGCUACUAUGAUUAAAUUAAUUAACCCAUAUACAUCAGGUCAAAGUGCAGCUAAUAGGAAGGUGAUGAUGGGUUACAACCCCAACAUAGAUAUCAACUAAGAUAUAAAAAAUCUUACGAAAGUGGACUUGGCCGUAAUCAAUUUACAAGUUAAAAAAAUGAAUAUAGACCUAAGACAUGCACACAUCGCCCGUCACUCUAUCCUAAAGGUUAGAUAAGUCGUAACAAAGUAGGUGUAAUGGAAAUUGCACCUGUCGAAGUAUAGCAUAUAUAAUGCUUUUUACUUACACUAAAAACAAAGUUUAAUAACUUGCUUCGCCCACAUAACGUAAUCUUAUAAAAUACCAAAUAAUAGAAACAACUAAACAAAUCUUAAUCAAUAAAAAAGUACAGAAAUGGAAAUAAUAAUAAAUAAAAGUAACUAUUAACAACUGUACCUCGUGCAUUAUGGUUUUACAAGAAAAUAAUUAAAUAUAUAAAUCCCGAAUUCUAAAUGAGAUGUUAAACUGCUGUUAUGAACCCAAUAGUAACUGUAAAAAAAGUUUUAAAAGACAGUUUAACAGAGGCUACAUACCAUCCGCAUAAGAAUAUAGCUGGUUUUCAACAAAUAUUAUACAUUAAAACAUAUAAUUUAAUUAUACUGUAACAUUAUUGAGGAUAAGCCCAAUAAUCAAAGCAAUAGAUACAACAAAUCAAUUAAACUAUAUAGGCCUAAGAUCAGCCAACUAAAAUACUUUAUCGUAAAUAAGACCGAUAUAACACAUAUUACAAACAUGCUAAAUAAAGUUGAAAUAGUAGACGAACUCACAACCCCCACUUUUACUAUGUAAAAAUAAGUAUUAUAAAACUAUAAUAACAACCACCCCAGUAAUUAACAACACAUAAGUAAUAAUAAUUAAUUAAGGAACUCGGCAAACUUAUAUUUCGACUGUUUAACAAAAACAUUGUCUCAUGAAAAAAAUAUGAGAUAGUACCUG